AGCUCAUUAAAGUUUAUCUUUGAAAAGUGUCCUUCAUAAGGAGCCCUCUGUAUCUGUUUUCACUAUUUCAGAUGUUUCUACUUGUGAUUGGUGUGGUGUCUGUGAUGGUGGCUUCGAUUCCUCGGAUUGCUAUAUUUGUGAUUCCCCUUGGAAUCAUUUUCUUUGUUCUCUGGUGGUAUUUCUUAAGGACAUCAUGAGAUGUGAAAUGCCUGGAAUCUACAACACAGAGUCCAGUGUUUUCUCACUUAGCAUCUUCUCUCCGGGGACUUGGGACCAUCCGGGCGUACAAAGCUGAACACAAGUUUCAGAAACUGUUCGACACAUACCAGGAUUUGCACUCAGGUCUGUCAGUUUCUGGAGAUGAUUUCAAAGUAUGAGGUCUGCUGCCUUCUGAGGCCUGAUCUUCUUCUCAGGUGGCCUGGCUAUUCUGUGCCACCCCUUAUCCCCCUCUGCACACCUGCCUCCC
rnacentral:lncRNA from 1 species